rnacentral:rRNA from 1 species
AGUGAACGCUGGCGGUAGGCCUAACACAUGCAAGUCGAACGAGUGGCGGACGGGUGAGGAAUACAUGGGAAUCUACUCUGUCGUGGGGGAUAACGUAGGGAAACUAACGCUAAUACCGAAUACGAUGUAAUGAGCCGAUGUCGGAUUAGCUAGUUGGAGGGGUAAUGGCCCACCAGGGCGACGAUCCGUAGCUGGUCUGAGAGGAUGAACAGCCCCACUGGAACUGAGACACGGUCCAGACUCCUUCGGGAGGCAGCAGUGGGGAAUAUUGGACAAUGGGCGAAAGCCUGAUCCAGCCAUACCGCGUGGGUGAAGAAGGCCUUCGGGUUGUAAAGCCCUUUUGUUGGGAAAGCGGUACCCAAAGAAUAAGCACCGGCUAACUUCGUGCCAGCAGCCGCGGUAAUUC